GAAUACAUUCUGUGUAUCGACUAAAUAUACCCAUUCUGAGUACCUUGCCUGUUGCUUCCAUGGAGCCUGACACAUGUCACUCUGGGGAUUUACAUCCCGAGGGAGCCUCCGUGGAAGGUAAUCAAUUAACUCUUGAAUCCAAUGUCAUCUGUCUGAUAAUGUUUAUAACAAAUGUUAAAACUUUCAACAACGGAUCUCUUGGUUCUCGCAUCGAUGAAGAACGCAGCGAAAUGCGAUAAGUAGUGUGAAUUGCAGAAUUCAGUGAAUCAUCGAAUCUUUGAACGCACAUUGCGCCUCCUGGUAUUCCGGGAGGCAUGCCUGUUCGAGCGUCAUUAAAUACCACUCAAGCUCUUCUGCUUGGUCAUGGAAGAAGAGAAUGCUUGCAUCCUCUCUUCUGAAAUCGAACGGCGGACUGCCUCAUGUGCCUCGCGUAGUAAGUUCAUCUUUUCGCUUGGAGUGUGAGAUAGUCUCGCCAUCAACCCCCAUACUUCUAAGGUUGACCUCGGAUCAGGUAGGGAUACCCGCUGAACUUAAGCAUAUCAAUAAGCGG
rnacentral:rRNA from 1 species